rnacentral:rRNA from 1 species
UACGUAGGCAGCAAGCGUUGUUCGGAGUUACUGGGCGUAAAGAGUGCGUAGGCGGUUCUGUAAGUUUGUUGUGAAAUCUCCCGGCUUAACUGGGAGGGUGCGGCGAAAACUGCGGGACUGGAGUGUGGGAGAGGUAAGCGGAAUUCCUGGUGUAGCGGUGAGAUGCGUAGAUAUCAGGAGGAACACCGGCGGUGU